CCUACGGGGGGCUGCAGUGGGGAAUAUUGCACAAUGGGCGCAAGCCAGAUGCAGCCAUGCCGCGUGUGUGAAGAAGGCCUUCGGGUUGUAAAGCACUUUCAGCGGGGAGGAAGGCGGUGAGGUUAAUAACCUCAUCGAUUGACGUUACCCGCAGAAGAAGCACCGGCUAACUCCGUGCCAGCAGCCGCGGUAAUACGGAGGGUGCAAGCGUUAAUCGGAAUUACUGGGCGUAAAGCGCACGCAGGCGGUCUGUCAAGUCGGAUGUGAAAUCCCCGGGCUCAACCUGGGAACUGCAUUCGAAACUGGCAGGCUAGAGUCUUGUAGAGGGGGGUAGAAUUCCAGGUGUAGCGGUGAAAUGCGUAGAGAUCUGGAGGAAUACCGGUGGCGAAGGCGGCCCCCUGGACAAAGACUGACGCUCAGGUGCGAAAGCGUGGGGAGCAAACAGGAUUAGAUACCCGUGUAGUC
rnacentral:rRNA from 1 species